rnacentral:misc_RNA from 1 species
UCUCCGUUGGUGAACCAGCGGAGGGAUCAUUACAGAGUUUUAUGCUCCCAACCCCUUGUGAACUUAUCUCGGUUACCUCGGCGGGGCCUACCCGGUACCGAUCCCUUAUGGGAGAGGGUACCCUGUAGUUCGGCGGUGGAUUUCAUCACUACUGUUAUUUUAAUGAUAUAUGAGAGGUUUAUUUUAAUAAGUUAAAACUUUCAACAACGGAUCUCUUGGCUCUC